rnacentral:misc_RNA from 1 species
UUCCGGUGAGUGAGUUGUCAACAAACCUGCAAAUGAGACAUUUGGAGGAUGAAACCAUCAUGGCUCCUUUUCACAAUAAAGAAUCUCUGACAAGAAAGGCACAUGCCAGCAGUCCUCCAAAUGUGUAUGGUUUGAUUUUGAUUGGGGUCAUCACAUUCCUCUGUGAAUGGAACACAGCAGAUACAGUGGACGUGAAGCCACAGAAGGAAGUCUACAUUCCUGACUACACAAUAUAUCAUAACUUGACAUCCAUACAAAAAGAUGUUCAACAGCUGCUCUUUCUGUACCCCAAUUUCAUGAAGAUUGAUUGGAAGUACAACUCGAGGCUGGGCAAACCACAGAUGCUUCUCCACAUCACAAACUUCACACAGAAUACAGAUGCCAACCAGAAGGAUGGAAGCAAGGUGAAAAUGUUGUUGUCAUAUGGGGAACACGCUCGAGAAUUCUUCCCAGUUGAAAGCAUGUUCCAUCUUUUGCGGAACCUCACUGAUGGACUUGGGUCAGCACCUGGUAGUUAUGAGGAACUAUAUUCCAGACAUGUACUGUCCAGUACUGACUUGCACAUCAUAGUAAUGGCUAACCCAGAUGGACGUGUGUACGUCGAACACUCCCAUAAUUACUGUUGGCGAGGAACAAGUACAGGUGUUGAUCUCAAUAGGAACUUUGACUGGGAGUAUGCAAAGAAGGGCAGUUCAGCUGAUCCUAAUGAUGAGGAAUAUAGAGGCCCCCAUGCUUUCUCAGAACCUGAAUGCAAUGUUUACAAACACCUCACUCAGGAAAUGCACUUUGAUCUCUACAUUUCGUUUCACUCAGGGAUUAGACAGAUAUAUUUACCUUUUGCUGAUACUCAUUCCAACAUCAUCAACAGACAACCAGCUAACAUACGGGGUAUCAAGGAGUUAGCAGCACGUCUCGCCUCCUCAACCACACACAGAUACGAGUACGGGAAGGCGAUGGAUCUCACCUUCUAUACAGCUGACGGGACGUCCUUCGACUACAUGGCAGGACACAGAAAGAUACCCUUUUCUUUAGCUAUAGAGCUAUGGGGCAGUGACGCACAUGUUGGAGCCAGCUGCUUUGACCAGUUCAACCCUCGGAGUGGAGACUUAAAGCAUGAAAUAGCAGAGAUCCAUCCUCUGUAUGUCUCGCUGUUUGACUACAUGAUUCACUGGAAACAGCGGAGAUCCAACAAGCCCCGAGGUGCUCUGAUCACAAAACACCGUCACCCUUUACAGGAGCCGACACCAUCGCACACAUUAAGCUAUCUUUUGAUGGCAACAGUUGUCAUAGUGAUACUUAUCCUGGCAUUCCAAGGACGUCUUCUGUUUUGUCAGCGAUGGCAACAUCGACGACGCAUCAUCAGCUUGAAGACUCUAAGCUCUACACUAUCUUUGUGGGGCUUUGUCAAGUCCAUUUGAACCAUGCAUUUAAGCAUCAUCCUUCCAUCAACUUUCUGUGUGAUAUUCAAUAGUGUAACACUGGUUUCAUGUUGAAUCACUAUGGCAACCCAGCUGAUAUGCUACAGUCCUCCUGUACAUUGAUUCCUGCAUUUAUUAUUAUUAUCAAAGACAUUGACAAUCUUCAAAGAUGCUUUCAUUCUGGCAGAUUGUGUUAACGCAGUGUAAAUGAUUAUAAUGCAUAAUUCCUCAGCUUCCAUUCCGUCAAAAGCUUAUAUGUGUUCUUCAUCCAUGACGAUGAUCUCUGUGUUUUCAAUAUAUGAUCUGGGUACACUAUAUCACAUGUGAA